UACGUAGGGUGCGAGCGUUAAUCGGAAUUACUGGGCGUAAAGCGUGCGCAGGCGGUUUUGUAAGUCAGAUGUGAAAUCCCCCGGGCUUAACCUGGGAACUGCGUUUGAAACUACAAGGCUAGAGUGCGGGAGAGGAGAGUGGAAUUCCUGGUGUAGCGGUGGAAUGCGCAGAUAUCAGGAAGAACACCCGUGGCGAAGGCGGCUCUCUGGAACGCAACUGACGCUGAGACGCGAAAGCGUGGGGAGCAAACAGG
rnacentral:rRNA from 1 species